CACAAUGGAUGAUGAAGAGGCUGAGUGGCUGGGAGAAUUCGUCCAGUCCCUCACGCUCCUGAAACUGGAUCCAUUCCACCUGUAUCUGGUUUAUAAAGGAACAACAAGAAAAACAAGAACUAAAAGUACAAACUCUAUUCUCAAUGAAAAUAUAGCCCUGAAACACAAUAUAUACAUGGAAAGGAAGCCAAAUUCAGUGAAGAACAAACAGGGAACAGACAGGCACCCAGGCAAAAAUGCCUACAACUACAAAUCAUGGAUCAAGUCAGAGAAAUAGCAUUCUCUAAAGAGACAUUUCCCCAGGAACAAAACUAACAAUCUAUUAUUUGAAACCAAAGGACUGUGUGCCCCAGGAAUUGGCAGUGGGUCAUUUCCAGGAACUCGGUGGUGAUAAGAAGCUGGAGAGGUGUGGCCGGAUAAAGAACAGCCAGGCACUUUUACCUUAUGUGAAGGACCCUAUCACACACAAACUAUUGGGAGUUAUAUGGAACUUCACUGAGAAAAAAGGAAGAUUUUUGUUAUGCUGAAAUAGAGCUCUGGUCCAUCACCAAGAGGAACCUCCUCAGUCUGUCCAGGAAGAGCUCAUGUUAUGAAAUAAAUAAAUAAUGGUGAAAAACAUAAAAAGAAAACAGCACAGGAAUUAUAAAAUAAUAUGGCAAAAUAAGAGAGGGUAAGGGACAGAAAAAAUAAAUAGCAGAAACAGAAUAAAAACUGCUUCCAUGAAGCAAACGAAAGUUGUGACCAUACUGCUGAUUAAGAAUAAUCUGUAUGAUGAGGAGAUCACCUCUGUAUGAGAAGAAUUCAAAGUAGAAAUACAAGAGCUAAGGGUAGCUAUGUUGAGACAACAUAAAGUCAUAAAAUAUAAGCUAUCAAAGUUCAGGAAAUAAGUUCAACAAUAACAGCAAAAAAAAUGCAAAAAGAAGCCUGGACACUGCUAACUACUCAUUCACGGACAAUGUGGAAGUCUUGGAUCCCCCCAGAGAACAGGUCACCAGAGCAGCAAAUGAGGGACCACACCCCAGCCCAUCUUCACAACCGCGGGAAAGCCACCCUCAUUUUCCUGACAUCACCUGAGCAUCCCCUCUCUACCACUGACUGCAUUUUCUGGACUCACCUGAAUGAAGAUAUAUUCAUCCUGAACAACCAGGGAACUGAUGUCAAUGGAACGGGCGAAAGGCCCACUGCGAGUGGUCUCGGCACAUUCCUGGAUCCUGCAGGGCCAUCCCAGAAAGGCACUCCGCUCAGUUGUUUGCUCCUUAAGGAAGAAGUACAGCCAGUCUACAAGCUCCAUGAGGUGAAGAUAAUAUCACAUUCGCCUCUAUUCCCCCUCAGGGACCAGAAUAUGCAGAUUUUAAAUAAAUACUGGUUGAAUAAAAGAAGAAAUAAAUGGAUCAAGAGACUAAUUGACUAAGUAAAAAAGAUGUAUCACAGCUUGCUUGUCCAGCCACCCAUUCAAGGAUAUUUAAGGAUGAUUAGGUUGUUCCAGUUUUGGGUGAUUAUUAAGUCUGCUACAGACUUGUGUGUACAGGUUUUUGUGUGAUUAUAACAUUUCCCUAGGGUAAAUACACAGGAGUGAGAUUGCUGAAUCAUAAGGUUUGUGUAACUUUAUAAGAAAUUGCCAAAAUGUUUUGCCAGAGUGACUGUUCUAUUUUGUAUCCCCACCAGGAAUAUAUGAGAGCUCUAAGAGCUUUCCAUCCUUACCAGCACUUGGUAUUACCAGUCUUG